rnacentral:rRNA from 1 species
UGAGACACGGGCCAGACUCCUACGGGAGGCAGCAGUGAGGAAUAUUGCACAAUGGGCGCAAGCCUGAUGCAGCAACGCCGCGUGAGGGACGAAGGCCUUCGGGUUGUAAACCUCUUUUCUGAGGGACGAGGAAGGACGGUACCUCAGGAAUAAGUCUCGGCUAACUACGUGCCAGCAGCCGCGGUAAAACGUAGGAGGCGAGCGUUAUCCGGAUUUACUGGGCGUAAAGCGCGCGCAGGUGGCUUCGUGAGUCGGACAUGAAAGCUCCUGGCUUAACUGGGAGAGGCUGUUCGAUACUGCGGGGCUUGAGGUUGGGAGAGGGACGCGGAAUUCCCGGUGUAGUGGUGGAAUGCGUAGAUAUCGGGAGGAACACCAGUGGCGCAAGCGGCGUCCUGGCCCACACCUGACGCUGAGGUGCGAAAGCGUGGGUAGCAAACAGGAUUAGAUACCCUGGCAGUCCACGCUGUAAACGAUGUCAACUGGGUGUCGGUAGUUUUACACUAUCGGUGCCGAAGCUAACGCG